GGAGGAGGAGGAGGAGAGGAGCAGUCAGCAGGCCCGAGGAGGCAGGACUUCCUGGUGUGGGGGUUGUCAACAGCCCAGAAAGAGAAAGGCAGAGAGACAGAACCGAGAGGAGCCGAGAAGCGAAGAGAGACCCAGCCGUGCCACGCGGAGGAGUUUUGGGAGACCCACUCGCCCCAACCACCCAGGCGGCUCCACCUGGAGGAUCGGGGGCGGGGGGCGGGGGGGGGGGCAGAGCCGCCUCUUCCCGCACCGGUCUGGAGACCCUUGGGGCUUCAGAGGCCGCGCCUGGGUUCCACCAAGGAGGCGGGGGAUCCUUCUUUUCCGGAGAGCAAACUUUUUACUGAGAUGCCUUGUGGGGCAAAGUGCGGUCCCCGAAGAGAACUGGACAGCCUCUGAUUCCCGCCUGCGCCCCCCGCGCUGCUGGGGCCAAGAGGCCCCAGGGGAAGGACAACCCGACAUCUUAGGCGGCCGGGACCCCCGGCCCAGCUCGGUGGCCGAGGCCGAGAGUUUGCAAACUCAGCUCUGGAGUUGGGCAGCGCCAGCGGCAGGAAAAACCUGCCCCUGCCCCCACCUCCUGCCGCCUCCCCUGCCCUGUGCUCCCUUCACCAACCCAGCACCCCCAGUUCCUGCAGGGCCCUCCGGCCAUGUCGGACCCAGAUGUCCCCAGGGGCCCUGAUGCCCCCGCCAUGUGGCCCCCCUGUUCCAGGGGUGCCUGAGCCCCUUCGAGGAGCCCCAGCUGCACCCCCGCCCACCUUGGCCGAGUCCUAGCCCCAGGGACCAUGAGUGGGGGCAAGAAGAAGAGUAGUUUCCAAAUCACCAGCGUCACCACGGACUAUGAGGGCCCAGGGAGCCCAGGGGGUUCUGAGCCCCCUGCCUUGCCCACCCCCACGGGGCCCCCACCCCGCCUGCCUAAUGGGGAGCCCAACCCCGAGCAGGGGGGCAAGAGCACCCCCCGGAAUGGCUCCCCACCGCCUGGGGCCCCUGCCUCCCGUUUCCGGGUGGUAAAGCUGCCCCACGGCCUGGGAGAGCCUUACCGCCGAGGCCGUUGGACGUGUGUGGAUGUUUACGAGAGAGACCUGGAGCCCCCAGGCUUUGGCCGCCUCCUGGAGGGAAUUCGAGGGGCCUCAGGAGGCACUGGGGGCAGAUCUCUGGAUUCCAGGUUGGAGCUGGCCAGCUUGGGCCUGGGUGCCCCAACUCCACAGCCAGGCCUGUCUCAGGGCCCCACCUCCUGGCUCCGUCCGCCCCCCACCUCCCCUGGACCUCAGGCCCGCUCCUUAACCGGGGGGCUGGGCCAGCUGGCAAUGCCUGGCAAGGCCAAGGUGGAGACACCCCCACUGUCAGCCUCCCCACCCCAGCAGCGCCCCCCAGAGCCCCGGACUGGGGAUAGCGCGGGCCCAUCCCGGGCUGCCACGCCCCUGCCAUCCCUGAGGGUGGAAGUGGAGGCUGGGGGCUCAGCAACAGGGACCUCUCCCCUGUCCCGGUCAAAGGAUGGAGCCCUGCGGCUGAGGAUGGAGUUGGUCGCUCCAGAGGAGAUGGGGCAGGUGCCCCCACUCGACUCUCGCCCCGGCUCCCCAGCCCUUUACUUGUUCCCCGAUGCCAGUCUGGUUCACAAGUCUCCAGACCCCUUUGGAGCAGCAGCAGCCCAGAGCCUCAGCCUGGCCCGCUCCAUGCUGGCCAUCAGUGGCCACCUGGACAGCGAUGAUGAUAGCGGCUCCGGAAGCCUGGUUGGCAUUGACAACAAGAUCGAACAAGCCAUGGUUUUCUUCUGGAAACAAAAAGCUAAGUCAACCUUCUUGGAACACCAUGAUUCCCAGAAAAGUGUAUUGAAGGUGGAGAAGACUCCCAAGGUGGUUGAGACUUUCAAGUUGGUUGAGCCCUGCAAAGAGGCUAAGAUUUCCAAGAUGGUGGAGUCCCCCGAGGUGGCUGAUGCCUGCGAGUUGGCCAAAGCAACAGAUAGGGCUAAGGUGGAGCCGGGUCAUAGGGCCCGAUCCCUGCUGCAGCUGCCCCGGACAGCUGUCAAGUCUGUCUCCAUGCUCAUGGUCUCGGCCCUGCAGAGCGGCUGGCAAAUGUGCAGCUGGAAGUCAUCUGUGAGUUCUACCUCCAUUUCCUCCCAAAUGAGGUCUGGGUCCCCAGUGGAUACGUCGGAAGCUGAGAUGCUGCGGGAAGUGUACCUGAUACUAUGGGUCAUUCGGAGACAACUGCGACAGCUGGCCCGCAGGCAGGAGAGGCGGAGGCGGCGCCACAUCCGGGCCCACACUGGCUCCCGGCCUGACACGGCUCAGGGCCUGAAACAGGAUGCCCGGAGUCCCCUUUAGGGGGGAACCCCACAUCCUCAAAAAGCCCCACCUCAGUCUUAGGUAAGGUUGAUAGGAGAGGUUAGGACAGCAGGCCAGGAGUUGUGUGUGAGAAGUUUUCAUACUGUCACCUCUCUCAUCGGGAGCCUAAGCCCAGGUGUGGGGUCCCACUUAUUCCCCUUCAUUCCAUUUAUUCAAUUUGUAAAAAAAAAAAAAAAAAAAAAAAAAAAAUUAUCAAAAGUUGGGAAAUAAAUAUCAGAUAUUUCUGAGUAAAUGGAGAGUGUGUUUGUGGAUAGCCAGAAGCAAUGAGGGGAACUCGGAGGGGGCACCUCAGGUCCUGCCCCAAAUAUGCGUGGGAGAAGUUUGUGGGCUUGGGGGAGGGGGCUUUGGGGGGAUCAACACAUCCAGGCCCUAGGCCCAAACCCACCUCCAGGGGCUGAAUUGCCUUUGGCAACCCUGCCAGGCCGGGAGUGCAGCAGCACCCUUUACAGAGACACGCCACCUCGCAUCAGGUCCUGAGCCCAUGCUCUCCUGGGCAAUCUUACAAGAUGGGUGUUUUGCAGAGGUUAAGUGGGUUGUGUAAAGCCGGAGGGCAAAGAUCUGCUGGAAACUGCCGGCUCCAGCGGCCAGCGCACUGACGAGCCCCUCUGGCGCUCGAGGGCUCCGCCGCAGCGAGGUUGGUGGGUCCGAAGACUCCUACCCGGGAGCCGGACACGCGACGGUGGGGAAAGCACGCAGGCCCAGCUGGCCGCGCCCCUGCCGAGAGCUGCGCAAAACUACACCUCCCAGGGUUCCCAGCGGUGCCACGGGCGGGGGCGGGGGCGCGGGGACGCAGGGGAGACCUGGGGUGGUGCGGCGGAUGGGCAAAGGCGCCCCAGGGCCGAGAGUCCUGCUUCCCGGAGCGGCAAGACUGAGAUUAACUGAAGGAGAAGAUUGUACAUCCCAGGGCUGAAAAUGCUGUCUGCCCCUUGCUGGAGCUGCCUAUCUGUCCCGUGGGGGUCAUUCUGGGGUGCUGGGAAUGGCCUAAGGGCUUCACGGAGUGCCGGGGUUGACUUCUAGAGACAAGCAAAACCCUCAGGGGGCAGAUCAUUAGCAGUGCACAAGAGAUACAGCCAACUCAGAAAAACCCAUCCUUCCUAGCUGUGUGACCUUGAGCAACAGGUGCAUCUGCCAUCCUACACCGAAUUUGGCUUUCUACAGGACCAUGGAGGUCUUCAUAGAGCCUGGCCCAAGGGAUCUACUCUCUUCUGAUGGAUAGUGCUCUGUGACAUGACCUGAUGCUGCUCCUCAGUGGGACCUGUACCUGUUAACAAGUACAUGCUUACAUGUGUGUGUGUUGGGGGUCACCUCAUCGGCCAAAGCAUAACUACCCCUUGCAGGUGAGAGUGUCUUGUAGGCAAGAUGAGAUUUUCCUGGUGGGAUCUCUGGGGCGUACAGGACAAGUGGAUGAGCCCUAUGAACCAGGCAUGUUGAUCCUCCAAGCUGAUAUUAUAAGGGCUAUGAAGAGGACUCCCCCCCCACCCUCCCAGAACCACACUGGGCACCCUGCAGAUUUGAGGGCGGGCAGAGAAGAUCUGGAGAGGAUGGAUAUGGUCUCAGGAACAUCCAGCUCACUGCAUGGAUGCCUCCAGCGCCAAGUGGGGCAGAGAUGAUGCUGGGAGUGGAGUGAUAGAAGCUGGCCUAGGAUCUAGAGAAGAGGAAGAGAAGGAUAUGGAGGACCAGUCUCUUGGAAGUGGAGGAGGGGAGAGAUAUCUAGGCUGCAUUGGGUAAGGGGAACACCCUGAGCUGGGACCACUGGCCUGAAGGUAGAGAAGGAAGAGGAGAUUUUGAUCAGAUUGAGGAACCCUGGUCUUGGUGCCCAAUGUCCCAGCUUAGCUUCGGGCCAUGGUGGGGCUCUCUUGGAAUGAUGGCUUCUCAUUCCAGGGCUUCUCCUGUUCCUCCAUUUGACCUGUGCCCUGUGUUACCUCAGUUCCUUGCUCACUGGAUCACUCCCAAAGCACGGAGCUUGCUCCUGGCAGGAGAUCUGACCUGCUCCACCGCUCCAGCUCUCACUGCACCCACUUUAUGCUUCUAGGGUUUUUUGCCAAGAAGCAGUUGAUCUCCAGCAUCCAUCCUCAGACCUGCCACUUUUAAGUUGCAUCAGGAUACUCGCUGCUUCCUGCGGCGCCUGGCACAUCUUUGGCGACAGCAGUGUGGAAGGCCUCUUUCUCUGCCAAGUUCACUUCCUGCUGGACUACCUGGUUCCUGCUUGUGGCCCCUCCAUCCCUCUAGCCUAGAACCAACCCAAUUCCAGAUCUUUGCUCAGCUCAUUGGUGCCAGAGCAACACGCCUUUCUUCAGCCUAGGAUGCAGAUAGGAAAUGUGCUGGGCAUUUGGGGGGUUUCUUGGGUUAAGGACUGACACAGUGCAUGGCAGAGAGGAGCUUGUCAGGGGUGGGGUGGGGGCUGGGUCCUAAUUCCUAGGGCUCUGCUAGCAGCCCAGGUUUUGGUCUCCUAAAACUCAGUAUCUAAGGCCUCAGUUUCUUGAGCACGCUUCCUGGUUGCCAUGGUUGCCUGAUGCUUUGGACAUGAUCAGUGACCAGCUGUGUGGCUACUCCCUGGACCUUGAGAUGUUGGAGGCCAUUGGAUGGGUAUUGCUGGACAGAGACCCUCACCAUUAACUUCUUCACACAAGACUUCCCCUAAUGGCCCCUCCCUCUGUGCUGAUAUGGCCCCCAUCCCUUUCCCUACAUGGAGGGACCCCAGUGAGUUAUUCCUCUAUAAUGCCAACACCAGGCUUCCCUCCCCAGUGCCUCCAAUACACCACCUGUCUAUCUCCCGCGUCCCACUCUUCCUCCUCCUGUCUUUACCUGUUUCCCUUGGUAACUCUCUGGAGCCUGGGAAAGCCUUCUCAGGACAAGAUGGUCCUUCAUGACCAGAUCCUUCUCACCAAGGGGCCUCCAAUCUCAGCCCCCCAAGGGAUGGGGAUGCUGCCAAGGCUGAUAGCAGACAGCCCAAUGUGGGGCCGAACUCAUGAACCGGGAGAUCACGACCUGAGAUGAAGUUGGUCACUUAACCAACUGAGCCCCCCCAGCUAUCUAUGCCUUCUACCGGAUCUUCCACAGCAGUUUUCAGUAAGAUAAAGCAUGUGAAAACACUCAAACUGCAAAGUGGCAGACAAACAUGCCUGUUGACGGAGUAAUAACCCAUCUGGGGAGAACCUCAAGAGUCAUGAGCCCAACUUAGCACAUUUCACACAAGACAAAAGAGGCUCACAGAACUGAGAGGACCUGGCCCAAGGAACACAGGAAACGGGCAAGCGAUCCAGUCUCCUGCCCUGCAAUCCCCCGAGCCUUUUUUUUUUUCUUUUUAAAAACUGUACUCAACAUA